UACGGGGGGGCAAGCGUUGUUCGGAAUUACUGGGCGUAAAGGGCUCGUAGGCGGCCAACUAAGUCGAACGUGAAAUCCCUCAGCUUAACUGGGGAACUGCGUCCGAUACUGAUUGGCUUGAAUCCGGAAGAGGGAUGCGGAAUUCCAGGUGUAGCGGUGAAAUGCGUGAGAGUAUCUGGAGGAACACCAAUUGCGAAGGCAGCUUGCUGGGACGAUACUGACGCUGAGGUGCGAAAGCGUGGGGAG
rnacentral:rRNA from 1 species